ACUUGCUGGAAAAAUGGAACUUCAAAUAAAUCUAUUCGGCAAGAGGAAACAUAGGGUAUCCUUUCUUUGCCUAUUAUACCAAAUACCAAACAACAAAAAUUGGUUCUCAUAACCAUUUCAACAAGCACCUAUAAACCAUCAAUUAUUCUCAUAUAAGUAGCAUAGAAUCGAAUGGAGCAGCAGUAGGGCAUGAGAAGAAAGAAGUAGCAGCAACACCUCAAGAUCCUACCAUUUUUUUGUACAUGAUGCAUCUCCCCUACCGUUCAGAUACAGGAGGCCAUUGAGUUCACUUACUGGAUAUCAUUCAGUUAAGUUUGUGUACAUGCUCGCAUUUCGCAUCAGACACCAGGCAUGCAUCAGCACACACGCCACAGUACACACGCAAGUUCUAGUAGGCAGCAUGGAUUAUUUUGUUGAAUCCAUUGAACGGAAGGGAGCUCCUUCAACCUGUAAGAUGAACGGAAAAAGCAUACAAGGUGAAAUAAUUUUGUCAAUGUCGAAAUGAUCAUAAUCAUGUAAAACAUGUAAAAAUAACGACAAGUUCAUGCAUAGUAACAUUAGAAGUAUACGAAGAAACCUAAAUAGAAGUUCUGUACUUUAAAAUACUUCAUUUUAGUUCCCAAAUACUUCAUUUGUUUCGAAAUAUGAACUUCUAUAUUUAUUUUCUUAGAACUUAUUAUGUUUCCCCUGCAAAUUUCAUAUAUAAGUGAAUUAUUUCCCAUCAACCAACAGAUUUCACUUCUUUAUGUUGAACUGCUACAAAUCUAUUUUUGUUAGCAAAACUUGAACGGGAAAAGCCUGCAAAGGUGUACACAACUAUAUCACAUCCUAUGUAAAGGCCAUUGGAGAAAGAAUUAGCAAAACUGAAACAAAAAUAUAUGUUACCAGAACUGAAAG
rnacentral:lncRNA from 1 species